UGACCUCUGACCUCAAAUCAGGUAGGACUACCCGCUGAACUUAAGCAUAUCAA
rnacentral:rRNA from 2 species